AACCUAUGUCAGGACAUUUUCGUAGAGCUCCUUGAACCUAUCCCAUGUCUCAAAUAGAGACUCUAAUUCCGUUUGCACAAAAGAGGACAUUUCAUUCCUAAGCUU